CGCCGCCGUGUCCCCGGAGGGACGGCGGGGCCCGGGCGGUGACAGCGGCGGUGACAGCGGGCAGGGCCGCGCCGGGCACAGCCACCGGAGCGCUCCCCGCGCCGCCCGGGCCGCGCCGCCGCUCCCCCGGGCCGGGCGGGGUCACCUUCAUGGGCGGGCGGCAGCGGCCCGGGGCCUGCUGAGGCGGCGGCGGCGGCGGGACCGGCGGCACCGGGAGCCGGAGCGAUGUUCGUGCAGGAGGAGAAGAUCUUUGCGGGGAAGGUGCUGAGGCUCCAUGUGUGCACCAUGGAGGGCGCCGAGUGGCUGGAGGAGGUGCCCGAGGACACCACGGUGGAGAAGCUCAAGGAGCGGUGCCUGAAGCACUGUCUUCCUGGGAGCUUGGAGGAUCCCAAAACUGUGACACAUCACAAGCUGAUCCAUGCUACUUCUGAGAAGGUGCUGACAGACACAAAAACAGUGUUGGAGGAGAACAUUCAGGACAGAGAUGUUUUGCUGCUGGUCAAGAAGCGCGCGCCAACGCUGCUCCCCAAGAUGUCAGAUGUGGUUGCAGAGGAGAAAAGGAAGCAGGAGCAGAAGGCUCCUGACAAGGAUGCCAUCCUCAAAGCCACGGCCAACCUGCCCGCCCGCAGCGCGGACCGCAGCGUCACCCACCACAACAUGAGGGAUUUUCCUUUCUUGCAGUUCCAGACAGAGCUCCGGAAGAUUUUAGUGUCUCUCAUAGAAGUUGCACAGAAACUGCUAGCACUGAACCCAGAUGCAGUUGAACUAUUUAAGAAGGCAAAUGCCAUGCUGGAUGAGGAUGAGGAGGACAGGGUGGACGAGAUCGCGCUGCGCCAGCUCACCGAGAUGGGAUUCCCAGAGAGCAGAGCUGUCAAAGCCCUCAGGCUCAACCACAUGUCUGUGACCCAGGCCAUGGAGUGGUUGAUAGAACACGCUGAUGACCCUUCUGUGGAUGCUCCUCUGCCAGGUGCUGCUCCUGCAGAAGCCCCUGCAGAAGCCCCAGCUGAAGGUGCUGCCUCCUCAGCUGAGGCAGCUGCAGGGCCCAGCUCUGAGGAGGGCGGGGAGGAGGCCAAGGAUGAGCUGACUGAAAUCUUCAAGAAGAUCCGCAGGAAAAGAGAAUUUCGUCCAGACCCACGGGCUGUCAUUGCCCUGAUGGAGAUGGGAUUUGAUGAAAAGGAAGUGGUGGAUGCACUCAGAGUGAACAACAACCAGCAAAAUGCAGCUUGUGAGUGGCUGCUGGGAGACAGAAAACCUUCUCCAGAGGACUUAGAUAAGGGCAUUGACACCAACAGCCCUCUCUUCCAAGCCAUCUUAGAAAACCCAGUGGUACAAUUGGGGCUCACCAACCCUAAAACUCUACUAGCCUUCGAGGAUAUGCUUGAAAACCCCUUGAACAGCACUCAGUGGAUGAACGAUCCCGAGACGGGGCCGGUGAUGUUACAGAUCUCCCGCAUCUUCCAGACACUGAACCGCACGUAGAGGGAGCUGCCAGUGCACUGUGCCACCUCCCCCUGGCCUCACUCCCCCUCCACCUCCUCAGGAGGCUGCCUGGAUGCUUGGGAAGGGGUGGAGGGAAGGGAGGGAAGGGGGAAAUCCUGGCUGGAGGGGUCUCUCACACAAGAGAGUUCAUAGUUACGGCCAACAGGAGUGAGUUGCCUUGUGGAUUUAGUGUUAGUGGAAGAGGUUUGAGGAUUUGUUCAUGUUUUCAGGUAUUAGGUUUAAAAUAAAGUAUAUCUAUUCAAAAAAAAAAUAGGAAAAAGGUUUUGUGAAAACAUUUAAGAAUCUGAUUGUUGGAAAGAAAUAUUGCUCGUUCAAAAGGCCUGUGACAGUUUUCUGGCCAGUUUUGCUAGGAUCUGGCUGGUGUUUACAAAAGGUCACUGACCACUAGCAUAGGAUAUUAAUCAUCUCCAUACAGUAUUAAUUUAUAGCUCUUAUCAAAUUGCAAAACUGCUUUUUAAAAAAAAAAAAAAAUUGAUUCUUAGGAAAUGUUUUUUAAAAGCCCAAAUCUUGGGAAAGCAAGCACAUUUCUAUCCAAGCUUGUUUAUCUGGCAUUCUAAUUUAAGCAGAAUCAUUCAGAGAUGGAAUUCUAAUAAAUAGCAUUACUUUUUCCUAUUUAUUUGCUGCGUUAGUGUUGUUGCAGUCCCACUGGGGUUGUACUUGCAGGAGGUUCUCUGUCAGGUACCAUAAAGGUGCAGGAUCUCUUUCACCACAGAAUUCACCACAUCAAGGCUUGGAUUCCCAAGUGGCUGCAACUCCUAAGCUCACACUCUGCCAUAUCCCAUUGCAAGGAGGGAUAUGUUCACACAGUGGUUUUUUUUUUCCUAUUUUUAUGUGCACAGUUUUGGCAAGGGGCUUGUGGGGGUUUUAUUCUGUUUACAAAAAAAAAAGCAGCUGAAUUGCAUGGGGGGGUUUGCUGGGGUUCUGUAAAGCAGCAGAACCACACAGGUUUUUAUCUUGUUUAAGGUAUUUAAAGCACGCUUGAAAUUGCUAUCUUUGAGUUAGAAGUGGGGUUUUCUUUAUCCUUAUUUUUACCAUGGUCAUACCAAGAAUGUCAGGCUGGGUCUUUCCUAUUUUGCCAGAAGACUGACUUGAGAUUUCAGAGAGGAAUUCUGAGCUAUUAAGAACAGAACUCACUGUGAAUAUCCAGCUGGUGUUUAUGAUUGGGCUCUGCAGGUGUUACUUUUUUAGCAGUCUGCUAAAAAAAGGGGUUUAUUUUCAACUCAGUGCAACAUGAUUGACAUCUGUCAUCAUCCCUGCCAUGCCUUGUGCUUCACAGCCCUGCAGGAAAGGCAGAAGAGGCAAAAUUUGCAGAGAAAGCAGGUGGAGACCCUGUGCUUAAACAGCACAAAGGUUUCCUGUCAGACAGGGAGAUCCUGAGCAAGUCACCUCGGAGCUGUGGGAGGGAUUUAGGUGCAGUUGGGUUUUUUUAAACAAAAAUGCAGCAAGAUGCAACCCGAAACCCUACAACAAGUUUUGGCCUGAACUUGGCAUCUGCUCUGUGCUGUUAUGCAGCUGAGGCACUGAAGUUGCCAAUUUCUCAUCAUUAAUAUGAAGGGUGGGGAAAUCAAAACAGCCUGAGAUUUUAUCUUGUCUUACUAUCCCAGGAUUCUUUUAUUUUUUUUUUUUAAUUUUGUAAUUUCAUAUUAAGCUUUACAGUUGAUGACUGCUGAAAUAUUUACUUCUACAUUUAGAAAUUCCAAGCUUUAUAGAGAUGUUUCUUCUGUUCAAAUUGGACAGUAAAACCAUUUUUGUGGGCUCUUGCUAAGAAUAGACUGAGAUGACAUGAAAUUAUAACCUUGUCCUGUAACUGAAGCCAGGAGCCUGAUCCUGCACCCCAGUGAGCUCAGCACAGCUACUCAUGAGUAGCUGUGACUGAAUAUUGUGGUCUUAUAAAAGGUUUUGAUUAUUUAAUCCUUUUUUUUUUUUGCUUACUCCUGAAGCUUUUUACCUGUAAUAAUACCAGAAGACUCUUUUACUUGAAGCUCUUAAUGUUAGAGAGAAAUGUCCCUCUCUGCAGUCAGGAUUGUGGUUAAUAUUCCUUUUAAUGAGUGUUUUUAGAAGGCAAAGUUGGGAAAAGCUACCCUGUAGUUUGGUGGGAGGUUUUUUGGCUUCUGAAUGGAUAAGGAGAGGUUCAGAAUGAGCAAACAGAUCCUUUGGGGCAGUUGUGGCCCUUGAAGAAUGUAAAGGCUUGGGAAAUGCUGGGUUUGAUUUCAGGAGGCCAUGGUUGGACUGCAGAGCUCAGAAUGGCAGCAGCCCUCAGUGCCCCUGAGCUGUUAUAAAGGGUGGGGAAAAGCACCAGUAAAACAGAUUAUCCUGAUGUGAUAGGAGGUGAGAAUGCCCAGGUUCAGCAGCAGCAGCUGGGAGACCCUAGAGAUAAAAGAAUUCUGCAUUUUAGGGUGCUGGGAGGCUUGAGAAGAUGUGGUUAUUUCUGGAUUUUGUUAUUGCAGAGCUCAACACUUCCACAGAUGAGCUGUUGUUUGGGAUGGCUUUAACAGAGCCCUGCUUGGCUUGUGACAACUGAAGUUUGCAGUGGCCAAAAGCUGAAGGAGAGCAGAAUUUAGGAGGUGUGGUGUUUGCAGCAAGGCCCAGGAGUUGAUUUAAACCCAGCAAAAACUCUCCUGAUGAGGUUGAAGGAAUUGAUGCAGACAUCAGUGGUGCUGGGGUGUGAAUUACAGCAGGGGCUGUGUCCCAUCACCCCAGGGCUGGGAUUGCUGUUCAUCCCAGAAAAUGCAGAGGGGAGUUGAGUCCCCUGUGCUUGGAAAGGCCCAGUUUUUGGAAAACCUGCAAAAGCUGAGGUGUCAGCACUGUGGAGCUGGAAGGUGCAGCCAUGGGGCACAGGGAAUGUGAGAGGCUUUGCCUGGUGAGGAGCUGUGCUGUCCCUGGGUGCAGUGAGAGAUCCCUGAACACACAGCAAGGAUUUUUGUUCAAUAAAACCAGCAGGGUUUGUGAGGAAGAGCUGCUCCCAGCAGUGAGGAUUUACAGGCUCAGGUCUUGUGCUUGCACCUUGGGUGUUCAAGUUCCAACUAGCACAGACAUGUCAGAGUUAAUUUUCUCUUAACAUGGUCAAGAGAAAAUUAUUGGAAGCCUGGCAGAUGGAGCAGGAAAGGGAUGGGGUGGUGGGUGACUAAUAGUGUGAUUCUUACAGUUCCUGCUCUUUGCCCCACUGGCAGCCAGACAAUCUUGUACCUUUUGAUGUUGCAGGCCUCUUGCAAGUAGCCAGCUAUUUAUUGAAAUAUAUCUAACUUAUAAUUGUGUCACCAAAACACUGAUGUUUUUAAUGGCAAUGUAUUACAUGGAAGUUUGUUCUCAGGGCUUCGUAUUUAUACUCCUUUUUUAGGGGGAUGCAUUUAAAGGGAUGUAUUUGGAAAAGAGGCCAGUGGCUACUUUACAGCUUGGACCUUGAUUGUCCUGACCUGUGAGCCUGAGCUGCUGUAACUCUCCUGCUGAACCUCUGUCCCUGCUCCAGCCCAAAGAAUCUGCCAUUCCUCCUCUCCUGGUGAGCAGGGACGUGAGUCUUCCUUUGGGAUUGCUGCAUCCCUGCAUGGCAAUGGUCACACAGCAUCACCCUGCUGGGCUUUGCUCCAUCUCAAGGACGUUUGUGCUCUCCAUGCAGCUGCAGAGUGGACUUGCACAGUUCCCAAGGCAGCCAUCAGGGCAUUCCUCCUCUGGGAAGGUGGGAGAUUCUCUCUGCACGAGUUCCAGGGUCUCUCCUCCUCUGGGAAGGUGGGAGCUUCUCUCUGCACGAGUUCCAGGGCCUCUCCUCCUCUGGGAAGGUGUGAGAUUCUCUCCUGCAUGAGUUCCAGGGCCUCUCCUCCUCUGGGAAGGUGGGAGAUUCUCUCCUGCACGAGUUCCAGGGCCUCCAGCUCGUGGCUGCUUCUUGGCAGCCCCUGUCACAGACCUGACCCAAAGCUUGACACACCCCUGCCCCUUUCUUUCCUCCUCUCCUGGAACCAAACUUCCAUUUCAGAGAUUUGAUUUUCAUAUCCAAGCAACUCUUUAGUGGUUCUUGAAAUGCUUUUUUAGUUAGGACUGUUACAAUUACCUUUUUGUAGGCGUUCACACCAAAACAAGCAUCGCACCAAACGAAUGUAUAGCGACACUGUCAGCAGACAUUGCCUGGGGAAGGGGCACAGGUUACUGUGAGCUCUGCUCCAGGGGCAGUUUUCCCAAAGGCUUGUGCAAAGGAUAAGCCAGUGUUUCAUCCAAAGGAACCAUCCUGGUUUUCUACUUUUAAUAAUAAAUACCAUUUUUAUUAACCAACAGAACAGCUUCCAGCUGGUAUUUCCAUCCAACUGAGAGUCCUGGAGCUUUGGGGCUGGAGAUCCUGCCUGGAUCCCCCUCUCUGGGGCAGCUCCUCCUUGGAAGGGUUUGUGCUGGCUGUGGCAGGGCAGUGGGGGCAGUGCCCUCCUCCCUGCACGGGGUGUUACAUCCAUGUGAAUGUUCUCAUGGUGGUUCUCGCCUCCAUCCCCACAUCCUGUGUAGCAAAAGGGUUUUUUUAAGGACCUCUUGCCCUAGAUUUGAAGAUCUUCAAUGCAGAUCCUGUUUGCAGCAUGUGAACUUCAGGAAAUGUAAAUGCAUUAAAUUCUUACUGAAUUUGGGUAUAGUUUUAUAUCAAGCUCUGGGGAGAGGGAGGAAAUUGGAUCACGUUUUAAACGAAGCCCCACAAACCCAAAUGUCUCUGUUGCAGCAGGUAACAGAGGCCUGUAGAGAUUUUUAAUUUGCAUAUUUUUAUCAUGGCUUAAUGAACUGUACACGAAUGUGAUUUGCUACCCAGCACUUCCCACGAGGCAGCACCAGUAAAAUUACAUUGCAAGGUACUGACUUCACAUUUUCUCAUUUCACCUGUGUAUACAGCAAUUAGGUACUGCGUAGGAUAACUUUGAUCUGGCUCUGAUGCCGGUGUGUGGCAUGCACAGCUCUUCCUAAGGUGUAACAUUACUUUUCUGAAGCUUAAACUAGGGCAGACAUCCCUGAGCCUGUGGAAUUCGGGAUUCAUUCUGGCCACGCUCGCGUGGGUCGCUGACCCCUCCCUGAGCAGGAAAACCAGCAGGAUUUGCUCCCUGCAGAAAUCCUCCAGGCCAAAAGCAAGGAAUGCUGCAAAUUUGUGAUCAUUUGAAGCAGUUGCUGUUCUGAAAUAUAUUCCUGGAAGUCAGGGAGGUGUUGGCAAAGCCAGACCUGUUCAGCCUGGAAUUGUUUUGUGUGGAGAUGUGGAACCCAUGGCCGGGGCUGGAGUGAAUGCUGAGACUUUAAACCUGCUCACACAUAACCCCAGACACUGAUGUUGUGUGUGCUGUACAUUUAUAAUAUAUCUUCAAAAUAAAGUUUUUUGAUUUA